UACGUAGGGUGCAAGCGUUAAUCGGAAUUACUGGGCGUAAAGCGUGCGCAGGCGGUGAUGUAAGACAGAUGUGAAAUCCCCGGGCUCAACCUGGGACCUGCAUUUGUGACUGCAUCGCUAGAGUACGGUAGAGGGGGAUGGAAUUCCGCGUGUAGCAGUGAAAUGCGUAGAUAUGCGGAGGAACACCGAUGGCGAAGGCAAUCCCCUGGACCUGUACUGACGCUCAUGCACGAAAGCGUGGGGAGCAAACGAGG
rnacentral:rRNA from 1 species